AUUGAACGCUGGCGGAAGGCCUAACACAUGCAAGUCGAACGAGUGGCAGACGGGUGAGUAAUGUCUGGGAAACUGCCUGAUGGAGGGGGAUAACUACUGGCAACGGUAGCUAAUACCGCAUACCAUCGGAUGUGCCCAGAUGGGAUUAGCUAGUAGGUGGGGUAAAGGCUCACCUAGGCGACGAUCCCUAGCUGGUCUGAUAGGAUGACAAGCCACACUGGACAUGAGAAACGGUCCAGACUUCUACGGGAGGCAGCAGUGGGGAAUAUUGCACGAGGGGCGCAAGUCUGAUGCAGCCAUGCCGAGGGUAUGAAGAAGGCCGUGGGGUUUUAAAGUACUUUCAGCUGGGAGGCGUGACCCGCAGAAGAAGCACCGGCUAACUCCGUGCCAGCAGCCGCGGUAAUAC
rnacentral:rRNA from 1 species